CCUACGGGGUGCUGCAGUGGGGAAUAUUGGACAAUGGGGGCAACCCUGAUCCAGCCAUGCCGCGUGUGUGAAGAAGGCCCUCGGGUUGUAAAGCACUUUCAGUGAGGAAGAACGCCUGGUGGUUAAUACCCAUCAGGAAAGACAUCACUCACAGAAGAAGCACCGGCUAACUCCGUGCCAGCAGCCGCGGUAAUACGGAGGGUGCGAGCGUUAAUCGGAAUUACUGGGCGUAAAGCGCGCGUAGGUGGCUUGAUAAGCCGGUUGUGAAAGCCCCGGGCUCAACCUGGGAACGGCAUCCGGAACUGUCAAGCUAGAGUGCAGGAGAGGAAGGUAGAAUUCCCGGUGUAGCGGUGAAAUGCGUAGAGAUCGGGAGGAAUACCAGUGGCGAAGGCGGCCUUCUGGACUGACACUGACACUGAGGUGCGAAAGCGUGGGUAGCAAACAGGAUUAGAUACCCCGGUAGUC
rnacentral:rRNA from 1 species